rnacentral:rRNA from 1 species
AGAAUUACUCUAUGCGGUGGAUCACUCGGCUCGUGUGU